ensembl:lncRNA
GGGACAUGUUGGUCUGUGAACACUUAGGAUGCAUGGUUAUCUUCAAUUAUGUGCGCAGUCCCACUGCCUUCAACAGAGCAAGCAUAAAGAGAAGACUAUGCUUAACUGUCUUUCUAGGAUGGGAGAGUGAUACUGGGAAAUCAUUCUUCCCAAAUCUCCAACGCUAAACCAGUUAGAAACAGGCAUUCUGAGUACAACACAGCAUAGACAACCCAACCUUCAUCUAUCUACAGUGUUUGGAAACACUGUUGCAUGAGGUGAGUCUGAGAGCUGGGACCGCUCAGCCCUGAGAGACAACCUGGGGACCUCAACACUGUGCGUAAGCAUCUGAUGAGAGGGAGUGAAGACACAGCCAG